rnacentral:snRNA from 1 species
GAAUGUGAGGGUGAUCUGGCUGCAAUAUCAGUCACCUCACUGAUCACUAGGGUUGAUUUGCCUGAUCUGGCUUGCCGCUUCAUGUGCAUCCCUCUCAAAGCUGUGGGCUUAGUUGAGGAAGACAGCCUUCCCCAUAUAGGCAUAUACUGUUCAUUGGUCAAGGGUAUACAAUGUCAAGUCUGGAAGGCAGAGACAAAAAAUGGAAAGAUAAUGUUGAACAGGCUUCCAGCACAGAGGUACCAAUAGAUAAAGAUGUGUGUUUUUUUC